AUUGAACGCUGGCGGCAGGCCUAACACAUGCAAGUCGAACGAGUGGCGGACGGGUGAGUAAUGUCUGGGAAACUGCCUGAUGGAGGGGGAUAACUACUGGAAACGGUAGCUAAUACCGCAUACCAUCGGAUGUGCCCAGAGGGGAUUAGCUUGUUGGUGGGGUAAAGGCUCACCUAGGCGACGAUCCCUAGCUGGUGUGAGAGGAUGACCAGCCAAACUGUAACUGAGACACGGUCCAGACUCAUACGGGAGGCAGCAGUGGGGAAUAUUGCACAAUGGGCGCAAGCCUGAUGCAGCCAUGCCGCGUGUGUGAAGAAGGCUUUCGGGUUGUAAAGCACUUGCAGCGAGGAGGCGUUACUCGCAGAAGAAGCACCGGCUAACGCCGUGCCAGCAGCCGCGGUAAUAC
rnacentral:rRNA from 1 species